rnacentral:rRNA from 1 species
AGCUCCAAUAGCGUAUAUUAAAGUUGUUGCAGUUAAAAAGCUCGUAGUUGGAUUUCUGUUUUGAAUUUCCGGUCCGUUUCUUUGAAGCGUGUACUAGGACAUUUGAUUCAUUUAUUGUGAGGACCCUUGACUGGCAUUAAGUUGUCUGGUUUUGUGGACUUGCAUCGUUUACUGUGAAAAAAUUAGAGUGUUUCAAGCAGGCGUUUGCUUUCGAAUACAUUAGCAUGGAAUAAUAAGAUACGACACUGGUGGUCUAUUUUGUUGGUUUGCACACCAGAGUAAUGAUUAAUAGGGACAGUUGGGGGUAUUCGUAUUCCUGUGGAAGAGGUGAAAUUCUUGGAUCACAGGAAGACGAUCUUAGGCGAAAGCAUUUACCAUGGAUGUUUUCAUUAAUCAAGAA